UAGACGGAAAUCUUGGAUUUCGGCGAUGAGCCUGUGAAGGACGUAGAGUCCAAAUUGAAAAUUCUCAAAUUUGAAUACAAAUGGGCGGACGCCGUGGAAGAAGAAGAAAAACUGAAGGGAAAAGUAGAGCCUUCAGAAGCAGGAGUUUAUAUAGGCUGGGAGGAGUACAGUAAGCCCGUCGAAC